CCUACGGGUGGCAGCAGUCGAGAAUCAUUCACAAUGGGGGAAACCCUGAUGGUGCGACGCCGCGUGGGGGAAUGAAGGUCUUCGGAUUGUAAACUCCUGUCAUGUGGGAGCAAAUUAAAAAGAUAGUACCCCACGAGGAAGAGACGGCUAACUCUGUACCAGCAGCCGCGGUAAUACAGAGGUCUCAAGCGUUGUUCGGAAUCACUGGGCGUAAAGCGUGCGUAGGCUGUUUCGUAAGUCGUGUGUGAAAGGCGCGGGCUCAACCCGCGGACGGCACAUGAUACUGCGAGACUAGAAUAAUGGAGGGGGAACCGGAAUUCUCGGUGUAGCAGUGAAAUGCGUAGAUAUCGAGAGGAACACUCGUGGCGAAGGCGGGUUACUGGACAGUAACUGACGCUGAGGCACGAAGGCCAGGGGAGCGAAAGGGAUUAGAUACCCUUGUAGUC
rnacentral:rRNA from 1 species